rnacentral:lncRNA from 10 species
UUGAUGUAAAUUAAGAUGUUAGUGGUAAUUCACAGCGUAAGCAAUAAGAAAAUAACUCAGAAGUAUAUAGUAAAAGAAACAAGGGAAUUAAAAUGGUACACCCAUCAUGGGUUAGGUUCCCCUCUCUCACACAUACUACCCCAUUAUAAGCUCUCUGGAAAUUCUUCCCUUUCUUUAUGGCACUUAUAAUUUAAAAUUUACAUGUAUUUAAUCUUUGUUUAACAUCUAAGUAGAGCUGAACUAACAUAGAAAUAACCACUGUUAACAUUUAUUUAUUUAUGAAUAAAUAUGUGGAUGAAUUUAAAUGAAUAAAUCUGUAUAAAAUUUAGGUUGUGUUAUAUUUCUGUGAUCUUUUAUGCUUUUUAAACUUUUAUGUCAAUAAUAUUUUUGAAUGAAUUUUGAAACUUUGUGGGUAAGACGGUUGUUUCUUAAUACUUGCCAGUUUCUGUAUGACCUGGCUACACUACUUGUCCUUUUUUUUCAAUAUCCCACCCUUGUUUUUUGACUGAGCU